GCAUAAUAUAGUUACAUAUCGCCGAAUUGUGGAUUUUCGAGUCCAUGAAUAAUCGAUGUUUUGGAGAUUGGUUUGUUAGACCAUUUUAUCCAUUUACCGUUACGGGAUCUGAAUACAUUUGCUUGACAUAACGCACCUGUUCUUCGCAUCACCUAAGCCAGAGCUUUGAUUGCCGAUAACCUCGAGGCAUCUCGUUAAUUAACGAGUUUUAAAAAGCCCUCUUUUUAAUUAAGAGGGUUUUACUUUUCCUGUUUUUUUUGUAUCGCACGUAAUUAUCUCAUGUCAAACUUGUGGUCACGCAUGGUUGGUUUCCCACUGCUGGACCUUAUUGUCAUCCGAUUGUCCACCUAGAGGCCGAUUGUAGCGGUUAUUACCCGAGCUGAGGGCUCCCGGAUAUCCUGAGAUUUGUAACCACGGGGGGGGACAACCGACACGAAGAAUCUUAAGGGGAGCAGGAACACCACGUAGCCGCCACGUUUCCGGAGAACGGUGAAAUAAACUUAGCCUUUCGAUAUUAGUACUAUUUGCCAUUGCAUAGGCA